UACAACUGUAUAAAAGUGAUUUCAAAAUACCAUCUUAUGUUGAAACAAAAAAAAAGUUUCCAGCCGCUGCUACUUAUACUUCAAACUUUUAAAUGGAAGACUAGUAGUUCAGAUUUCUGCUGAAAAGUAUUACAAUAAUAUUAAAUACUUGGAGUGAAUCAUGAAGAUUAACCUAGAAUACGACCAUGGACUUAUUGUUUGGGGAAAAUUGACCCGAAAAGAUAAAGCAUGGGCUGCUAUGAUUCUAUCAACGAAGAAAUUGGAUCUAAUUUUUGAAGAAAAAAUUGGAUAUUCUUGGGUUUGGUGGUUUAAUCACGAUACGUUUUCACAUGUAA